GAGAUUCUAAUUUAGAACUUAGUAUAACAAUAAUUUGUGUUGAUAGGAUGGUAUUAUUUAGUAUUUUUGAUCAAUAGGUUGUAUUAUUUAAUUAAAUCUUUUAAAACAUCUAUUUUGGAAUGUUAUCAUUUUUAGAGAACUAUUUGUAGAUUUGAGAUUCUGAUUUUGAAAUUAGGAUAACAAUAUUUUUUGUUGAUAGAUGAGUAUUUUUAAUAAUUUUUGAUCAAUAAGUUGUAUUUUUUAUUUAAAUUUUUAAAAACUACUAAUUUGGGAAAUUUAUCAUAUUUUGAGAGAACUAUUGUAGAGUUCUUAUUCUAAUUUAAAAAUUAGGAUAACAAAAGAUUUUGUUGAUAGAUGAGUAUUCUUUUAGAAUUUUUGAUCAAUAAAUCGUAUUUUUAGUUAAUUUUUUUAAAAUAUGCUAUUUUGGGAUAAUUAUCAUUUUGUAGAAAACA
rnacentral:lncRNA from 1 species